rnacentral:rRNA from 1 species
CCUACGGGAGGCAGCAGUGGGGGAUAUUGCACAAUGGGGGGAACCCUGAUGCAGCGACGCCGCGUGGGUGAAGAAGCGCCUCGGCGCGUAAAGCCCUGUCAGCAGGGAAGAAAAUGACGGUACCUGAAGAAGAAGCCCCGGCUAAAUACGUGCCAGCAGCCGCGGUAACACGUAGGGGGCAAGCGUUAUCCGGAUUUACUGGGUGUAAGGGGGGCGCAGACGGCGGUGCAAGCCAGGAGUGAAAGCCCGGGGCCCAACCCCGGGACUGCUCUUGAAACUGCGUGGCUGGAGUGCAGGAGGGGCAGGCGGAAUUCCUGGUGUAGCGGUGAAAUGCGUAGAUAUCAGGAGGAACACCGAUGGCGAAGGCGGCCUGC